GCUACUGUGACAACUUAAGGAGAUGAGGUGUCAGUGGCUGAUCAUAACAGCACGUGUUGUCCCCAUCGGAUGACAUUUACGUUUAAUUGUGGCCUUGAAUGCCGGCAGUAGUAAUCCUAGAGAGGUAAGAACAGCUACCAGGAGCCUCCGGCUCAGCAGGGGGCCUUGGAAAAGCUCUGGGACGUGGUCAUGAGCUUCCACUGACAUUUUUAUCACAUCCGCCAAGGGCAGCUGUCCUCUCCUCGGCCGCAGAUAUAUCUGAGUGUUCCAAAGUGGGCAGUUGGGUAUUCUUUUGAAGGUCCUCUGGGAACCCACGGUAGCUCAAGUUUGAUUUUCCAAGAGCAAUAAAUCCAAAUGUUUAAUGAAAAAGUCUUUUAAAAUUUGAACUCGUUUUCUUGUUUCUAUCUCAGGGAAGGUGGAGGGCAACUGGGGAGUAACCCUCCUCACCAAGCCUUCUUUUAUCUUCUUUAUUUAAAAAAGUUAUUUUAAUUUAUUUAUUCUUGAGAGAGAGAGAGAGUGCAUAAGCAGGGGAGGGGCAGAGAGAGAGACAGAGAAUCCCAAGCAGGCUCCACACUGUCAGCAUGGAGCGCAGUGCGGAGCUCGAACUCACAAACCGUGGGAUCAUGACCUGAGCAGAAAUCAAGAGUCCGUUGCUUAACUGAGCCGCCCAAGCGUCCCUAAGCCAUCUUUUAUGUAUGUGAAGACAGGAAUUAAGUGUCAUCCGUUCUGAACAAUAUGACCUCAAUUUUUCUAGACUUCUUUUAAUAGGAAGUCCUUUUGCACCUGCUUUAGCAUAUCCCCUUUUCCUGGGUUUGCUCCACUUUCCCACAUAACUUCUAAAUUGCAGGGGCGGUGCCUUACUUGCACCACCUGUGGUUUCCUUUGGAACGCCAACAGCAGGUGCAGCCCACACCUGUUGUGCGCGCACACACACACACACACACGCACACACACACACGCACACACACACAUCCACCACAGAAACUGCUUUGGAGAUGGGGUAAAACAAAGAACAUAUAACCCUGUUGCAUAAAAAUGAGGGUUAGAAGGAUCAAGGUUGUAGAUGUGCAGUCCUCUUACUGAGGUCCUUGCUCCCUUCGGGGGGGGAUGGUUCAGUGGUCAAAUCCCUGCACAACUUCAUACAGACUCACUUGUGAGGGAAGCCCUUUGCAGGCUGCCCACUUUCUAACUGGGUUCAGGACUCCCAAACCACACCCUUUGCCACUUCGUGGGGAUUCCUCUAAAACCAAGAUACCCUCUUACAUGGCCACAGCACAGUUAUCAACUGCAGGAACUUAAUAUCAACACCAUAGUUUUAGCUAAUCUCUAACCCAUGUUCCAAUACCGUCCAUUGUCCCAGGAACGUCCUCCGCGCAUUCAGUCCGGGAUGCAGCCCGGAUCACGGUGUGCGUUCAGUUGUCAUUUAUUCUCCUUUACUCCGAACGCUUUCGCAACUGCUCUAUGCCUUUUACGACAUUGACAUUUCUAAGAAGACUACUUAUAUGUUUUUUUAAUUUUAUUUUUAAGUAAACUCUACACCCAAUGUGGGACUUGAACUCUUAACCCUGAGAUCAAGAGUUGCCCACUCUACCAAUGGAGCCAAUCAGGUGCCCCCAGCCUACGUAUUUUAUAGAAAGUUUCUCCGUUUGGGUAUAUCUAGUGUUUCCUCAUGAUUACAUCAAAUAGAUUUUGAGGGCUUCUCCAUGGAAAGUUAGAAAUCAUGUAGUGCACAGCAUGGUGACUAUAGUUAAUAGUGUCGUAUUGCAUAUUUGAAAAUAGCGGGCGGGGCACUGGGGUGGCUCAGUCGGUUAAGUAUCUGAAUCUCGAUUUCGGCUCCGGUCGUGAUCUCCCGGUUCGUGGGUUCGAGCCCUCCAUCAGGCUCUGCACAGACAGUUUGGAGCCUGCUUGGGAUUCUGUCUCUCUCUCUCUCCGUCCCUCCCCACCCCCUCUCAAAAUAAAUAAAUAAACUUAAAAAAAAAAAGAAAGUUGCUGGGGGAGUGGAUCUUGAAAUUUCUCAUCAUGAGAAAAAAAUGUGUAACUAUGUAGGGUGAUGUUAACUGGACUUAUUAUUAUUUCACAAUAUACGCAAAUAUCAAAUCAUUAUUUGUAUGGUUGAAACUAAUACAAUGUUACGUCGAUUAUACCUCAAAAGGAAAGACAGAAGGAAAGGAAAAACUCUUCCAGUGCCUUCCGUCUCAUUGAGGAUGAAAUUUACACAUUUACCAAGCCCUACAAGGCCUUGCUUCCUCAAUACUGAUCCUUGGCUCUCUCUCUCUGCCUCAGGCCCUUUGCACUUGCUGGUACUACUUCCUGAUGUGCUCUUCAUCCCGAUCAUUGCUUGUCAUGUUCCCUCAUUUUAUUCAGGUACGUUUAAUUACAAACCGAAAGAUAACCUCAGAUUCCAAUCCACAGCAUUCCUUCAUCGUUUGGAGCCCUCCUUUCCUGCCAGAUUUCUGAGAGCCUUCCUUUCUCUGUUUCCUGUCCCCGCAGGGUACACGUGUGUGUGAAACGCUGAUUAAUACUUUGCUCUUUGGAACCAACCGGGUGUACCUUCAAUGUCCAGUCUUUUAAAGAUGGGAGUUUGGAUUUUAGAGCACUGACUGUUAAUUUACAUGACAGUGACAUCUAGUGGAUCGCUAAUGACAGUCGGAGCUACAAGCUCUAAAGAUCAAAGGAGGGGCAAAACAAACAUCAGCCACGAACAGCAAAACUCCACCCUGAUUCCUGGAAAGAUGCUCUAGUGAGGUCUGGAGAAUCCAUUGAGAUUUCUGUUGAUGAUGUGGCCAUUGAUGGGUUAAGGAUAUCUGAAGAUUUAGGUUUCACUAUGCAUGUUGGGGAUGGAGCGUGGAGGACAAGCCUAAAUAUGAAAAAAUGAGAGAAUUUGUUGUGUGGGAUAGCUUAAGCUGCUACAAGUUCAUUUUUCAAGAGGUUGAUUUAUCACUCAAAAGCGAGGGGCGCCUGGGUGGCUCAGUCGGUUAAACGCCCGACCUCAGCACAGGUCAUGAUCUCAUAGUCUGUGGGUUCAAGCUGUGCUGACAGCUCAGAGCCUGGAGCCUGCUUCCGAUUCUGUGUCUCCCUCUCUCCCUCUGUACCUCCCUCUGCUCACGCUCUGUCUCUCUCUCCCUCAAAAAUACACAUUAAAAAAAAAUUUUUUUUUAAAGGUGAUAGGAACAUGAAAUUAGUGCAUGCUGUCACCAAGUGGUGGUACUAAUUCGGAAGAAAAGUAAAAUUUUGGUCAUUAGGUGUGCUCAGCUGGACGAAACUAGCAAAUUUUGCUCUUGAUCUGAAAUCAACAGUCAGAUGCUUAACCCAGGUGCCCCUAACAGCAAGCUUUAAAAUAUAAGAUUAAGGAAUAGUUUAAUAAUUAUUAUAAGUUUGGACAAUUUAUAUCACAAUGAAGAAUGUGCAAGUCAUGUUCUCAUGUUAUGUUCUCACACCCACAUGAGCAAAGCAUGUUAUCAGACUUUUUGUUCCUGUUAAUCAAAAAUUUUAUUUUGCCUUUCUCAUAUGAUGCCUGAGAUUGAGUAACUUUUCAUCUGAUUUUAUUUUUUUGGUGACUUGUGCCCUUGUAUUUUGCCCAUUUCUCUAUGAAGCUAAUGACAUUUUAAAAUUGAUUUGUAGAAGCUCUUUAUAUAUUAGGGUAAUUGGCUCUUUAGCUGAGAUACGAAUUGCAAAUAUUGUUUCCGGUGUCUUUUUACCUUGCUUUUGAUGGUUUUUCCCAUGUAAAAUUUUCUUAUCGUUUGGGUUUUUGUGUUAUAAAGACAUUCCCUUCUCUAAGGACUAUAAAAGAAAAUUAUUGCAUGGUUUUCUUUUAGUACUUUUAUUGUUUAUCUUUUCUUUUUAAGUAUAUGAUCAACCUAGAGUCUGUGAAAUAGUGUUCUCCGUUUAAUUUGUCAGUUGCUGCUUGUCCAAACAUCAUUUAUUCAAUAAUGUACUUUAAAUGUCACCUAUCACUUGGGUUCUGCUUUGCCCAGGACUAUCCUGGUUUUUACUUGUUGUCCUGGCUUAGUUUUGAAUUGUGUUCCCUUUCAUUCUCCAGUGUGGCCUGGUUUGAAUAAUAAAUUACACGUUUACCUUCCUACUCAUGAUAACGAAUACGAUACCCUUGACCAAAAUUGACCCAUGUUAAAUUUUACUCCACUGGCUUACUUGUUUGUGCUCUCUCCCUAUAUUUCUUUUUUCUAUUAUUAUUCUUUUAACAUUUAUUUAUUUUUAAGAGAGCAAGACAGAGCACGAGCUGGGGAGGGGCAGAGGUGGGGGUGGGGUGGGGGUAGGAGACAGAGAAUCCAAAGCAAGCUCCAGGCCCUGAGCUGUCAGCACAGAGCCCAACGCGGGGCUUGAACUCACAGACCUCGAGAUCAUGACCUGAGCCAAAGUCAGAUGCUUAACUGACUGAGCCACCCAGGGCGCCCCCCACCCCUCCUAUAUUUCUUAAGAGUAGGAAUAGUCUCUUUCGUAGCCUCGGUAUUUUCCUUGAAGCAAUAUUUUUAUCUAAUCUACUGUCAUACUACAAUUUUGUCAGUUGCCCUAAUAAUCCCCCUUAUAGCAUCCCUGUGCCUCCCCAAGCGCCUCUCUCCCUGCCGCCCCACCAAGUUUAUGGUCAGAUCCAGUUUAUGGUCAAGCAUUGGAUUUACUUGUCGUGUCUCUUUGGCUUCCUUUAAGCUAGAAUUGUUUCCCUUUUAUGGCGUUGACACUUUUGAAGAAUACGGUUUUCCCCUACCUUUUUAUUCCAGAACAUUCUUCAUUUUCUGUGAAUCACAGCCAUUCUUAAUUACAGAGCUCCACUGCCUCAGUGGGGGCUGAACAAGAAUCGAUAGCCGUAUCUCCUCCAUAAUCUUCCCAGAGAACUGGAUCUCAGGCUCCCUGAAUGGAUCUGGUCAGUGAAGUGAGUGAGGGAAGGCUUCACACACUGGCUCUGGGACCCCACUCUUUCCCCAUCCACCUUUGAUCACUCUCUUCUAGAAAGUCCUUGGCUUGGCAAUUGGUUGAUCCCAAGUCUUGGGUCAGAGGGAUGGAUGUGGUAGGUUCUGAAAUGGGGAGAGUCUUUUCAAAACUAUGGGGCCAGAAGCAUUAUGGUACCCACUGACCUGGCCUCGCUCUGUCUGAUGUCCCUUCCCGCCUCCCUCCUGCCCUUCCCUAGCCUCCCAAGCCUCUCUAAUCACAACCACCGGACUCGCUCUGUAUCACCUAAAGUCAUUCCAGGUGCCUCCAGGGACACAGGACCCCACCCCGCCCCCAUUAAGAAUCAUGUCCCCUUGGGGUACCUGGAUGGCUCAGUUGGUUGAGCGUCCAACUUUGGCUCAGGUCGUGAUCUUGCGGUUUGUGAGUUUGAGCCCCGCGUCGGGCUCUGUGCUGACAGCUCAGAGCCUGGAGCCUGCUUCAGAUUCUGUCUCCCUCUCUCUCUGCCUCUCCCCAGCUCACACUUGGCCUCUCUCUGUCUCUCAACUAAAUAAACAUUUUUAAAAAAUGUAAAAAGAAUCAUGCCUCCUUACGAUCUCUCAGUACGUCUCUCUCUAAGGCCUCAAUAAACUGUUUUCCCAAGUCAGACUCAGAGCAUUCUUGGACCAAAUGGCAUGAUCCUCGUCUGAACAAAAACUUCUUCUUUCUUACAUGACUGCCCCAAAAUAUUUGUGCCCCAUUAGGAUUGGAGAAAGAUCUCCUCCAGACAGCCAUCCCAGGGAGCCUGGAGGAACCCUGGUAAAUGUAGCUUUUGCUCACCAGCCCACGUUGCUGUAAGGGCCUCGCUGGAAGAAAUCGUGGCAGGAGUCUCUCCCCGUGGACUAGUCUCUAUAUGGCUCCCCACUCUGCUUUGCUUAUUAUGGAGCCUGCUUCUGCUUCUCCCCAUCUGUGUCCUGAAGGAGUCCCAGCCUGCACGACCCCCCAGUUUGCCGCCCACUGAUUGCUUUCUUGUUUGACCCUUGAUCUUGUAGAUGAGCACAUGCUGAGUCCCCACUCCACGGAGCCCGCAUGAACCUCUGGACCUCUGACCGACCUGCCCACUUCUUUCCUAAAUUUUGACUUCUGAAAAGAUCAACACAGCUAAACCACUUCAACCUGGCAGGGAGAGGCCCCUGCCUUGGCAUAACCCUACCCACUGGAGCCCUGACUUAGCAGAAGUUCUCAUCAUGGGAGAUCCAGGAAAGUCUCUGAAAGAAGAUGCCGAGGUUCCCAGGAACACCUUUCCUGAGUCUGUGCUAUGACUAGGGCAUCUUUGUUUUAUGCACCUACGUGAAGCAGACAUUUUUGGCAAUGCCUUUAUUCUACAGAACGCCAGCUAGGUCUGGGGCUAAGAAAAGCACCAUGUUUAUAUGCCCACUAAUUUUCUCAAUCAUGAGCAAAUUAUUUGCUCCUCGCCCCGUGAAAAAAUGAACUUUCUCUUUUGAGAGUUUGGAGAAAAUAAAAAAGCGAAAUUAACCAGUCAAAGAGAGCUUGGACAAUAAAGUGAACAAAGACAUUUGCUUUCCAAAAGCGUGUUUAAAUAUUUUAUCUAGAAAAAUCUUCCCAAAGUUAUAAAUAGCGCCUAGCUAUGAGUUCCAGCAUCAACCUCGGAGAAGUGCUUCCAGCUUUAUGACUGAGUUUGUGUGCCUGUGGCCAAAUGGAUUUGGAAUGGAAACUUUUUUUUUUUUUGUCAUCUGGCUUAUUGUUGUUUCCUUCUGUGGCCACAGUGUUUGUCUGGGCCAUGGGAUUACUCGAUCAAUCAAAUAUUUAUUGAGUAACCAGACGACCAAUGGAAAAACUAGGCUUGGAUCAUAUUGUACAGAUCAUACUAUGUGUCUUAAAGUCUUAAGGCAGUUGUGCUCACUAAUGGUCAUCUCUUUUUUUGGGAGCUUAGAAAAGGAUCCAUUUGGAAAAAGAGAAGUCUCCAUGCAGAAGCAAAUACCUUCCUCUGACUUUUGGCAAACAAAAUAUUCGCAAAUUCCGUCGCCCUGUUCUAAUAUCUAUUUAUAAAUGUUUCUCUCCAUUCUAGAGGUUUUCUCUGUAAUAUGUGCACCAUGCCAAUGACAUCCUUUAAAGCUGGAAGUUUUCAGAAUUAAAUUCUGGUUUCCUUAAUUUACUAUAGGAAUACGUCCCUAGAGACUGUAAGUCCAACAUAAAUGAUGUGUGUGUCGGAAGGCGAGUAUAUACACCCUUAUGUUUUUUGCUAAAUGGGUGUAGAGUCACGAGUGCUAUUUAUCAAUAUUUCCGCGUCUCCUCUUUUUGGGGAUGUGGAAAGAUGUCAGUCGUCUGCCCACUUGAAGUUAGGGUGGUAGGCCAGCUGACUGCUUCGGCCAGUGAAAUGUGAGCAAAACUGAGAGGUGCCCCUUUUGGGUAGGUGGUCAACUUCUCAUGUUCCCUUCCAUCUUCCAUGAUCAUUGGUAAUGUUCUAGCCGGUAGAGAUUUGAUCAGCAUGCAUCCAGAGGAGAGAAUAAAAUAAAGAAGGGUCCCCCAGUGACCUGAAAUGGACAUGUAGCAAGAGAGGGAAAUAAUGUAUUCUAGGCCAUUGAAAUAUCAGGGUUGUUUUUCCUCUAGCAUAGCUUUGCAUAUGCUGAAUAAUACAAAAAUCGGUCUAUAGAAGUGGGCCACUGCUAUAGCAAAGACCUAAAACAAAUGACCUAAGGGCCAGGUAGGGGGUGGCAAGGACACUACGCCUGCAGUAAUUUGGGACGUACAUUUUACUCCUAAAGCAGGGGCCAGUGAAAACCCAACCCUGCAUCAGGGGACCCAUGAAGGGUAUGGCCAUCAUACUCCUUGUUAACACCCGUCGAUGAAUUAAGGUGUCUUUGAGCAAAGUUCCAUUAAUGGUGUGGGGUCCAAAAAAUCUUCUCACUUGCACAGAAAGGCUUGGGGAAAAGAGACGAAGUACAUACUCAGCUCUCUCAUUGAAGCCUGAUGGCCUCGGGGAGUUGAAAUUAAACUGAUAAACAGAGUCAUGGGAGCAAGAAAGCAAAGAAAUACAGUAAACACGAGAAUUCUGUCUCAAAAAGAACUGUGGCUAUUGCCAUGAGGAGCUGACGGGAAGACGAUACAUGAGAAGCUGUUUUUGACAAAAGAAGUAUUAAUCAGGGGUACCUGGGUGGCUCAGUCGGUUGAACGUCCAACUUCGGCUCAGGUCAUGAUCUCACAGUUUGUGGGCUCAAGCCCUGCAUCAGGCUCUGUGCUGACCACUUGCUCAGAGCCUGGAGCCUGCUUCAGAUUCCGUGUCUCCUCUCUCUGCCUCUCCCCCGCUCACGCUUUGUCUCACU
rnacentral:lncRNA from 1 species